GGAAUAUUGGUCAAUGGGCGAGAGCCUGAACCAGCCAAGUAGCGUGCAGGAUGACGGCCCUAUGGGUUGUAAACUGCUUUUAUCGGGGGAUAAAGUGAGGGACGCGUCCCUUUUUGUAGGUACCCGAUGAAUAAGGACCGGCUAAUUCCGUGCCAGCAGCCGCGGUAAUACGGAAGGUCCGGGCGUUAUCCGGAUUUAUUGGGUUUAAAGGGAGCGCAGGCCGAUGGUUAAGCGUGACGUGAAAUGUAGCCGCUCAACGGCUGAACUGCGUCGCGAACUGGCCGUCUUGAGUGAGUUCGAUGUGGGCGGAAUUCGUGGUGUAGCGGUGAAAUGCUUAGAUAUCACGAAGAACUCCGAUUGCGAAGGCAGCCCACAAGGCCUUUACUGACGCUAAAGCUCGAAGGUGCGGGUAUCGAACA
rnacentral:rRNA from 1 species